rnacentral:rRNA from 1 species
GACAGAGGGUGCAAACGUUGUUCGGAAUUAUUGGGCGUAAAGCGCGUGUAGGCGGCUUGUUAUGUCGGGUGUGAAAGCCCUCAGCUUAACUGAGGAAGUGCGCCCGAAACUGGCAAGCUUGAGUGUCGGAGAGGAUAGCGGAACACCCGGUGUAGAGGUGAAAUUCGUAGAUAUCGGGUAGAACACCAGUGGCGAAGGCGGCUAUCUGGACGACAACUGACGCUGAGACGCGAAAGCGUGGGGAGCAAACAGG